GUCCAGGGCGGGAACGACCGCUGAGUUUAAGCAAUAUCAAUAAGCGGAGGAAAAGAAACUUACAGGAUUCCCCUCGUAACGCGAGCGACCGGCGGGAGAGCAGCUUGAGAAUCGGGCCGCCCUCGGGCGUCCUCGAUUGUAGUCGUGAGACAGCGUCCUCUGCGGAGCGGCGGACCGGGCCCAAGUUCCCUGGGAAGGCGGGGCCGAGAGAGGGUGAGGCCCCGUCCGUGCCCGGCCCUGUGCGCACUCCAACGAGGGCGCUGGUCUGCGAGUGACGGGUUGGGUUGGGAAUGCAGCCCCGCCAAUCGGCGGUAAAUCUCCGUCCAAGGCUAAAUAGUGCGAGAGACCGCAUAGCGAACAAGUACCGACGAGCGCGGCGAGGGAAACGAUGAAAAGGACUUUGAAAAGAGUAGUCAAAGAGUGCUUGAAAAUUGUCGGGAAGGGAAAGCGGAUGGGGGCCGGCGACUGCGCCCGGUCGGAUGUGGAACGGCGAAAAGCCGGUCCGCGAUCAGGACUGGUGGGCGCGGACCGACGCGGAUCGCGGCGCGGCGGCCCAAGCCCGGGCAACUAGAAACCCCGCUGAGACGCCGUCGGGCAGCGAUCGUGGAGGCAUCAGCGCGCGCCGUCUACGGCGUGCCCCGCCCCGCCGCGCUCCUUGGCGUCGGCCAGGCGGGCUCCCCAUAUCGGCCGUCUUGAAACACGGACCACAGGAGUCUGACAUGUGUGCGAGUCAACGGCGAGUAAACCGUAAGGCGCAAGGAAGCUGACUGGCGGGAUUCUACGCUCGAGGUUGCACGCCAGCCGAGCCUCGGAUCUUCUGAAGAAGGGUUGAGUGAGAGCAUGCCUGUCGGGACCCGAAAAGGAUGGUGAACUAUGCCUGAGCGGGGCGAAGCAGAGGAAACUCUGGUGGAGCCCGCAGCGAUACUGACAGUGCAAAUCGGUUCGUCUGACUUGGGGUAUAGGGGCGAAAGACUAAUCGAACCGUGUAGUAGCUGGUUCCUCCGAGUUUCCCUCAGGAUAGCUGGAGCUCGGACGAGUUCUAUCGGGUGAAAGCAAUGAUUAAGAGGAUCGGGCGGCGCAAACGCCCUCGCCUAUUCUCAACUUUAAAUUAGGUAGGAAGGCGCGGCUGCGUUCGCUGAGCGGCGUGGACCAUCGGAAAUCGAGAGCUCCAAGUGGCCAUUUUUUUGGUAAGGCGAAUGGCGAUGGCGGGAUGAAACGGAAGUCCGCGGUUACGGUGCCCAACUGCGCGCUAACAGCCAGAACCCACAAAGGGUGUUGGUCGAUUUAAGACAGCAGGACCGGUGGUCAUGGAAGUCGAAAUCCGGCUAAACGGAGUGUGUAACAACUCACCUGCGAAUCAACUAGCCCGAAAAUGGAUGGUCGCUUAAGCGGGCGCGACUAUCCGGCCGUCGGGGCAAGAAGCCAGGCCCGAUGAGUAGGAGGGCGCGGCGGCCCGCUGCAGAACGCGCGGGGCGCGAGCCCGGGCGGAGCGGCCGUCGGUGCAGAUCUUGGUGGUAGUAGCAAAUAUUCAAAUGAGAACUUGAAGGCGAAGAGGGGAAGGUUUCCAUGUGAACGGCACUUGCACAUGGGUUAGUCGAUCCUAAGAGACGGGGGAAGCCCGUCCGACAGCGCGUCCGCGCGCGAGCUUCGAAAGGGAAUCGGGUUUAAAAUUCCCGAACCGGGGACGCGGCGGGCCUUUUGUGACGGUGGCGAACGUUAGGGAGUCCGGAGAACGUCGGCGGGGGCCUCGGGAAGAGUUUUAUCUUUCUGGUUUACAGGCACCGCCCACCCUGGAAACGACUCAGUCGGAGGUAGGGUCCAGCGGCCCGAGAAAGAGGCAGACGCACGUCGAGCGGGUGUCCGGUGGCCCCGGACGCCCGUGAAAAAUCCGAGGACCGAGUGGCCUCGCGCGCCCUGGUCGUACUCAUAACCGCAUCAGGUCUCCAAGGUGAAUCAGCCUCUGGCCAUGGAACAAUGUAGGCAAGGUAAGUCGGCAAAACGGAUCCGUAACCUCAGGAAAACGGUUGGCUGCUGGAGAGCUGGGCCCGGGGGUUGCACCGUCCCGAACCCGUCGGCUGUCGGCGGGACUGCUCGCAGCUGCUCGCGGCGAGAGCGGGUGCCGCGUUGCCGGGCCGGGGGACGGACUUGGGAACGGCCCCUCCGGGGGCUUUCCCCGGGCGUCGAACAGUUCGACUCAGAACUCGGUAUACGGACAAGGGAAUCCGAUGUUUUAAUUAAACAAAGCAUUGCGAUGGUCCCUGCGGAUGCUCACGCAAUGUGAUUUUCUGCCCAGUGCUCUGAAUGUCCAAAGUGAAAAUUCAACGCAAAGCGCGGGUAAACGGCGGGAGUAAUCUAUGACUCUCUUAAGUAGCCAAUGCCUCGUCAUCUUAAUUAGUGACGUGGGCAUGAAUGGAUUAACAGAGAUUCCCACUGCCCUGUCUACUAUCCCAGCGAAACCAAGCCAGGGAAACGGGCCUGUUGGCGGGAAUCGAGCGGGGCAGGGAGAAGACCGCUGGUUGCAGGCCUAUGAGACUCUAGUCCGACUUUGUGAAAUGAAAACUGUGGAGAGGCUGUAUGGGAUGAGGUGGGAGCUCGGAACUACGGCGACGGUGAAAUUACACUACUGUUAACGUUAUUUUACUUUAUUACCGUGAAUCGGGAGGCGGGCCUCGCGCCUCUUUUUGACGCCAAGGCCGCCACGGCGGCCGAUCCGGGCGGAGACAUUGUCAGGUGGGGAGUUUGGCUGGGGCGGGCACAUCUGUUAAACAGAUAACGCAGGUGUCCUAAGAUGAGCUCAACGAGAAAGAAUCUCGUGUGGAACAAAAGGGUAAAGCUUCGUUUUGAUUCCUGAUUUCAGUACGAAUACGAUAACCGUGAAAGCGUGGCCUAUCGUCCUCUUAAGACUUCGGAAUUCUGCAAGCUAAGAGGUGUCAGAAAAGUUUACCACAGGGAUAUACUGGCCUUGUGGCAGCCAAGCGUUCUAGCGACGAUUGCUUUUUUGAUCCUUCGAUGGGUCGGCUCUUCCUAUCAUUGUGAAGCAAGAAUUCCACCAAGUGUUAGGAUUGUUCAAACACCCACCGCAAUAGGGAACGUGAGCUGGGUUUAGACGUCGUGAGACAGGUUAGUUUUACCUCUACUGAUUGACUCGCGUCGGCGAAUGGUAAUUCAUCAAAACCUAGUAGCGCAGAGGGAACCCGUUGUGUCGCACCACAAUGGUCAAUCGGCGCUUAGUUGAAAGCAGUGGCGGAUCAGCACCGGUGCGCUAGAUAUGAUGAACGCCUCUAAGUCAGAAUCCGGGCCAGAAAAGCGACAGCCCGUUGUCCGGCCGCCCCCUUGCCGACCCGCAGUAGGGGCCCUCCGGCCCCCCCGGCAGAGGGCACCGUGCCAGUUGGCAAGCCCUCCCCCGCAUGCCGCCGUACGGACAGGCCC
rnacentral:rRNA from 1 species